GUUUGCUAAAAUCACGUGACUUUGGCCAGUUUGAAACAAGCUCCGAACAAAUGAUUCGAAACAAAAGAUUCAUUAAUGUUUCAAAGCCUCAAGAAGCAGUGCUUGGAAUUCGCCCAUCACUAUUUGGCUCUCGUUCUUGAGUCACGAGGCGUUAAACGAUAAAACGAUUAAAAGGAAAGAGCCGGAGUGGGAUCAGCUGUUGAAGACUUUCUGUCCGUGUUUGUAUAUUCUGGUGAAAUAUAAAGUUAAUGCAAGUUUUGUUUUUCAGAGCUCAGAAAAUGUCAAGCGUUGUGAGUUAUAGUUUACUGUUGGUGAUCUGUUUCAGUAGCUACUCAUUACAAGAUCCACAUUUGAAAGGUACGAUGGUAGAGGGGCAUCUUGGGGGAAACGCCAGCAUCCAUUGUGAAACUGAAGACAACAAUCAGCAUGGGGUUUACAUGUAUAGGCAUAAACCAGGAGAACCAAAACCACAGAGAAUCUUCUUCUUUUACUAUGAUGGCACUUUAACUCUUAAUGAAGAUUCAAAUGUUGAAAUAACAAUAAGGGGUACAUUCCCCAGCUUCACCAUCACCUUCUUAAACCUGACUGUGACAGACACCGCCCUGUACUGGUGUGAAUUCAAUUAUGAAGCAAAAAUCACGUUUAGCAUGAUCACAUUUUUAUCAGUUAAGGUUGCUGAUGGAUGCAUUGUAUUAUUGGAUCCUCCUGAAACCACACAGUCUGUCACAAUUGAUAAUGAUGAUGAAGAGACCACAUCUGCUGUGACUGAUUUCGAAAGUGCUGGGCGACCCACAGAGUUGUCUGCAAAGGAGCUGUAUAAGGUCCAUCUAUUAAGGCAAAUUAAAAAAACUGAUAUGGACAUGGACCUUAUACAGCUUCAGCUAGAGGAGAAAAGGCUGGCCAUUAAAAAGGCCAAACUUGAAAUAGAAUUACUGGAGCAUCGCCUUAAGGAUAUGAAGAAAUAGAGCAUCAAAUAAAGUCAUUUUGACAAAUCAUGUCUCUAAGCAUUCUGCCAUCUCUGUGGUCUGCUAGUUUGAAUGGGUGUAUAUCUAGGUCAUUUUCAUCAGGACAGGGGGGAUGCCUUUAUCCUCUUAUUGUGGAGUACCACACAAGCAACUAUGAUGUCACAUGCCCUAUUUGGACUGACCCUGAGCCCUGAAGACACUGAAACCUCGCCUUCAGAUUGCCUAUUGUCAUCUCCACCUUGGCCCGUGUUCUGCUGUGAGACCGGUUGAAGCGUGUCUGGGCUCAGGAUCAGGGGAAGGCAAGGGUAUCCUCUGUCCCCCAGCAAGUAACCAUAGAAGUGUCCUGUAAUGUUUGAGUUGUUUUAUAAAUGUAAUAAAGAUUACAAGCAUGUGUCUAACAAAACGUACCCUGUUGGAAUUUGUUGCACAGAGAUGACUCUCUAAAUAUUCUGGCAUCAUGUACAGACCCAGGCCAUUUUGCCUCAACAUCAGUGAUGAGGUGGGUUGCGUCACAUAUUACCUGGGAAGACCAAGUAGUUUAUCAUUUGUAAUGCCAAUAUUAAGGAGCCAAAAUAUAGCUAUUACCUGCACAUUGAUGCUAUGCACAGACUUCCUUCCGGCUCAGCUGCAUGGGUUCAGCGUCGGCAGAGAGGGAAGGCGGGGUGGGUGAGGUGGUAUUGGCCACCUGAUUCAGGAGGACGCAAUGACGCAGCAAGCGGCGGUGAUGGUGAAAGAGCAUCCGAGCCUUAAGCGCAAGCUCGAUGAUGGUGUCUAGGAAGUGAGGCAGGUUGUGGGAAGCAAUCUUGUCUUGGAUAUCAUCGCUAAGUCCAUCCACAAAACUGUGCUUGGAGAGCCGACUUGUUUCAGCCGCAUGCUGCUGCCAUGGUAUUGAACUUGAUGGAAUAGUCCCUAACAGAGCGCUCCCCCUGAACGAGAUGAACGAGUUGAGCUGCUGCAGAAUCCCCCUGUGCCGAUCAAUCGAACAGCUUUAACAUCUUCUGUCGAAACUCCUCAAAGACUGACAACAGGGGGCAAGGGCAUCCCAGACCGCCGUGCCUCACUCGCCCGCUCUCCCGGUGAGAAGUGUGAUUACAAAAGCGACCUGGGUCUGCUCUGUAGCUUAACGGUGAGGUUGAAGGGCAAACACCAAGAAGCAUUGAGAGAGGAAUAAAUGAAUGAAACUGGUGGUGCAUCUUUUAGCUGCUUUUCUCCUUUGAUUUCCAGCUAAUCGGUCCGCAACACACACACCAACACGUGAGGAGGAACUGUGAGGUUGGCAACAGAUUCGCAUUCUACGAGUUGAUUGGACAGUAGCUACUCAUUACAAGAUCCACAUUUGAAAGGUACGAUGGUAAAGACACAUCUUGGGGGAAACGGCAGCAUCCAGUGUUCUACUGAAGACAACAAUCAGCAUGGGGUUUACAUGUAUAGAAUGAAACCAGAAGAAACAAAACCACAGAGAAUCUUCUACUUUUACCAUGAUGGCACUUAAACUCUUAAUGAAGAUGCAAAUGUUACCGUAAUUAGAAGUGGAGAAUUUCCCAGCUUUACCAUCACCUUCUUCAACCUGACUGUGACAGACAGCGCCCACUACUGGUGUGAAUUCAAUCAUGAAGAAAGAAUCACGUUUAGCAUGAUCACAUGGUUAUGGGUGACAGCCAAUCACGUAGAAGAGUGUCCAGGAAAUACAUUUCUCUUGUACGUGACGAUUGCCUGCACGGGAUUUAGCAUCAUAACUCUGCUGUGCAUCAUUGGCGUGAUUUUAAAGGUGAAGAGAUGUAAGGGGAAGAAAUAUGAACCAGCAAAACCCUUGGUCUAUGAAGAGAUGAGGAGAAACAAACUGUCCACAUUAAUAAACCAUACAUACCAAUCUUCAAAGCAAGUCCACUAAACAUCUGUGCUUGAUAACAUUUAAUUCAAUUCAGCUUAGCAGAUAUAAGUUCAUGUCGGUACAAGCCCCAAUAAUUCAUUCUGUAUUUAUCAUGCAUCUACAGUAUUUUUCACAUACAUUUAUUUCCACUCACAUACAGAAAUGUAUAGAUGUACAUACAUUAUGUUUUCUUUAGAAACUUAUUUUCUUCAAUACUAUAUACUAUACUAUAUACUCCAGAGAGGACCUUGGCUACAGCACAUCUUUAUUUUAACUACUUUUGGUAUUGAUUUUAAAGGUAGGGUAACACAUUUUGAAAAAUGCUAACAGUAGCCGCCUAGCAAUGAAAUCCCGAUCCCACCCUCAAGUCAAAUCCCCAUCCAAAGUCACGCCUCUUUCCAAACACAUGAACACACACAGAUCAGACGGUCACAUCUCAUGUCUCAUUCACCAGUGAGAAAACUUUGCAGUACAAAGUGAAUAACAUUUCCAAAAUAACCAAACUGGUAUACAUCAGAAUUAGUUUAAGCACACGUUCGGUUGUGUAGACGUAGUAACUAUAUCGUUAACGCUAAUCCGUAAACGAACACAAAUUUCAUAAGCAACACAAUGUUUCAUCAAAGUAGAACAUCUGAAUCCAUCUCAAUACAAACAUAUUGCGUACCUACCUUACCAAAAUAAACAGUGCAACGACCUUUUCAGACCCUUUGCCUCCUGCAGCUGUUUGCAUCUCGUGGUAAAGCACUAAAGUUACAGAUGUUCAUUUGGGUUUUUGCUCUUGCUGAUCCAGGCAGUUUUUGCUGUUGUUGUUAUAAAAGAUGUCUUUCAUUGUGUGCCUCCUGUGUAGGUUGUCAAUUCAGCAGAAAAGUUUGCUGUUCUCACUGUUUACAGACGGUGAGCGCAUGUGAACAAAGGUGACCAGAUUUUUAAAAUGAAAACCGGGGACAUUUCGUAGUUAAAUGGUCAAAAUAUCAUUAAAAUCUCAUUUGUUGUUAUCUAUGAAUAAAUAAUGGGGACAAAAUGUUUUUUGAAAGUUUUCUUUUUUUAUUGUUGUGGGUUCACUGCAAAAAAUGACUUCUUACUUAAUUGUAUUUGUCUUAUUUUCAGGACAAUUAUCUAAAAAAUCUUAAAUCAAGAUGCAUUUUCUUGAUAAGCAAAAUCCCCCAAGAAAAAUCUAGCUUUAAGACAAAAAAAUUAAUUUAAGUGAAUUUGUGCUUAAAACAUGCAAAAAAAUAUUUUUCUUGAAUUAAGUAGUGGUAGAUUUGUUUUGCUUGUUUUAAGCACAAAUUUGAUAUUUUGGUCUAAAUAGUAGACUUAUAUUCUUAGGUCAUUUUGCCCAUCAAGAAAAUGCAUCUUGACUUAAGAAUUUUUUUAUAUUUGUACUGAAAACAAGAGAAAAAUACUAAUAAGAAUGUCAUUUUUUGCAGUGUUUCUAAUUCAAUUAAUUGAACAAUUUCUGUAUCCUAAAAAUCUAUUUUUUUCCCGUUUUUUUUUUAAACAAAAGAGACAUACCCCAUCAAAAAUUAUUUGUAAGGUACUACUUCAGCUGAUUUCAUAACAUUGUAAACGUGACGAACAGAAGGAAUAGUGCAAAAUUUAAACAUAUUUAGCCUACAAAAAAAAAAAAAUGCUCCGUAACAUACUGUGAUCAGUUCACUUCAUUGGUUUAUUAUUUUAAUUUAACAUGAGUAUUCAGUACCUUAAGCCACCAUAACUUUAACUGUGUUCAUAUCUUAUGAUAACUUGAUUGAUGAUAAUGACGCUUUCUUGUGUGUCUCGUAGUAAAUUCUUCAUCGCUAAAUCAGUGGCGUGCGCAAGUAACAUGUAGCUCGCGGCCCCCUCUGCUGGUGAAAAUAAUCAUUACAUGAUUGCUCCGGUCUGGUACUACAAACGCUAUGUUGAUCGGGUUUUGUCAGUGUAUUUGCUGGUUGUUUUGGACAUGCUGUAAAACGGGGACAUUUCCGGGGACAUCUUCAGGCGGGGACAGAACCCCAAAAAACGGGACUGUCCCCGGAAAACAGGGACGUCUGGUCACCUUAAUGUUAAUGCUCCGAUGACGUAUGGUGUCUGCGUGGACUCACUGCGCGGUGGGAAUUCAAAUUACGCUUACGUAUGAGGGACAAAAAAUGAAAACGUCCGUUCGGACCGAAAUCUAUGAUUUGUUGAACAUUUUUUUGUCCUAAGCCUUUCACAGAUGACAUAAAUUUCUACAAAUACAUUUAAACAACUUAACACAGUGAUUGCUAUCAGGAUGUGAGGAGACUUUUAACCAGCAUAACUAAAAAUGUUUCAGGAUCAAAUCUGUUACCCUACCUUUAAUAUUUGUGAGAUUACACUUGUCUUUCUGUUAUGCUUUUUGUAACAGUAUGGGUAAAUAAUUUUAAUAAACUGUUU